UGUCUCUGGGUGUACCAGUCACCCAGAGAGGGUGAGAGUGGAACGGCCGCUGUCUGGUGCUGGGUCACGGGCAGAAACAGCCUCAUGGCCAGGCCACCUGAUGGCCAUUCCCACAGGAAGGACUGGCUUCUGUGCUGUGUCCCAGCUCUGGCAUGACCAAGCCAUCCUCUGACCACCAGCAGCCACGCCUGGCUUCAGAGAAGCCAGAGAGCCCAGUGGGCCACGUGGACCCCAGCGGGCACCACGUGCCAGAUGUCAGCUGCAGUCAGUCUCCAACCACAGUGCCUGCGCUCUGCCCCACCCUGCCUCAUCGUCCUCAGAGGGCUUAGCACGAUGCCAGGGGCCCCGCCACCUGAGACCCUGAAGACGCCAAACUUGUUCCGUUCCUGCUUGUAUCCCCAGUACCUAGAGCAGCACCUGGCUCAACACGCUGACACCUGUGGGUGCACUCUGCAGGUGGCGUGGGCCCCGGGGGCAGCAGGAGCAGAGCCCAGGGGGACGGUUUUGCCUCCUGAGUCGGGGAACAUGCUGCAAAGCUCUGUGGGCACCUGUCUUGUGGGG
rnacentral:lncRNA from 1 species